GCACUGCUGAAGUGUCCCACAAUAGAACGAAACGGCCGCCCAGUGC
rfam:Schistosoma mattheei strain Denwood, Zambia genome assembly, scaffold: SMTD_scaffold0020933